CCUGGCGGCCAUAGCGCCGUGGAACCACCUGAUCCCAUGCCGAACUCAGAAGUGAAACGCGGUAGCGCCGAUGGUAGUGUGGCAUUCGCCAUGCGAGAGUAGGACACUACCAGGC
rnacentral:rRNA from 2 species